rnacentral:lncRNA from 1 species
UCCUUUAAGAGGUGAUUGGGUCAUGGGGGCAGAACGCUCACGAAGGGGAUUAGUGCCCUUAUAAAAGAGGACUGAGGCCUCUCACUUGGCGCUUCUACCAUGGGAGGAUACAAGGAGGAAUCUGCGACUCAGACGAAGCCUUCACCUGAGCAUCCUGACACCCUGAUCUCAGAACUGUGAGAAGAGACAACCUUCUGGAGAAUGUGACACCAGAAGAAAUAUUGUCAUCUUGGACUGAAGGAGACAGAGAGAUGGUAAUGUGGCGAUGGAAGCAAAGAACCUGAUGUGAUCACAGAAGCGGAGGUCACAGUGAUGAGGGACCAUGAGACAAUGUAUGCAGUCUCUAGAAUCUGAAAAAGGCAAGAAACUAUGAAUUUCCCUGUGAGGACUUCUUACGCUACAUCUCAUUACAUUUUGGAUACGGUCAAGGCUGGAGAAUGUUCGGUGUGCACUUGAGAGGAAUGUGCAUCUGUUGUCCACUUGGAGUGCUCUAGAGGUCCUUCCAGUUCUUCCACAUGGGAUGCUGCCUCAGCAUGACUCGAUGAGCAGUGCUAGGUCCACGCCCAGGAUCCAAACUUAUUGGCCCUGAGCUAACAUCUAUGCCAACCUGCCUCCAUUUUGUAUGUGGGACACCACCACAGCAUGCCUUGAUGAGCAGUGUGUAGGUCCUCACCCAGAAUCCAAACCCAUAGACCACAGGCCUCCUGAGCAGGUUAUGUGAACUUAACCACUGUGCCACCAGGCAGGCCCUGUAGUCAUUUCUUUAGUUCAAUAGAGCUUUGCACCCAUCUACCUCUUUUGCAUUGUUCUUGGCAAAUAUAUGACAAAUAAAUUAUAAUUCUAUGUGUUAGAGGCCAACAAUAUAUUAUAUACAUAUUAUUUUAUGCAAUUGCUUUUUACACCAGUUAAGUAGAGAUGGAGUUUGCAUUUAUACUCUGUUUUAUAAUUACAUAAUUACUGGUGCUCUUCGUAUUUUUGUGUGGAUUGAAACCAAUGUCUGGAGUCACUUGCUUUUGGCCUGAAGAUUUUUUGAUAUUGCUUAUAAGUUGGGUAUACUAGCAACAAAUCCUCUCGAUUUUUGUCUAUCUGGAAAUAUUUUAAUUUUGCCUUCAUUUUUGAAAGACAGCUUUGCUCAUUGACAGUUUUUUCUUUGAUCAUUUUGAAUAGGUGUUCCUACUGUCUUUGGCCUCCAUUGUUUCUACUGAGUCAACUGUUAUUUUUAUUGAAUUUCCCUUGCGAGUGAUAAGUCAUUUAUCUCUAUCUGCUUUCAGGAGUUUCUCUUUAUCUUUGACUUUUAAUGUGUUUACUAUGAAAUGUCUGUAGAUCUUUUUGAAUUCAUCCUACUUGGAGUUAACUAAGCUUUUUGGAUAUGUAGAUUAUUGUUUUUCAACAAAUAUUGGAAAGUUUUCACCCAUAUUCCUUUAUUUUUUCCUGCUCCUUUCUCUCUCUCCUCUAGUACUGUCAUUGUGUACUAUAUUGGUGCAUUUAAUAGUGUCCCACAUUUGUCUGAAGCUCUGUUCAGUUUUCUUCCUUUCUCUCUGUGAUUUGGAUUGCAUACUAUCUAUCGAUCUAUCUUCAGGUUCAUUAAAUCAUUCUUCUAUUGGUUCAAAUAUACUUUUUAGCCCUUCUAGUGAAUGUUUUCUUUUAGUUAUUGCACUUUUCAACUCCAGAAUUUCCAUGGGGUUUUCACUUAUAACUUCUAUCUCAUUAUUAAUAUUCUCUAUGUCCUGUGUCAUGUGACAUUGACAUCGUACCUUCUUUGCUUAAUUAAUCAUGCUUUCUUUUAGUUCUUUAAACAUAUUUAUAAUGGCUACUUGGAAGUAUUUGUUAAAUCUGACAUUGUGGUCACUCUCACAAGAAGUUUCUGUUGCUUGCUUUUUUACCCAGUGCAUGUGUCAUACUUUCUUUUUUGUUUGCAUGCCUGUAAUUUUUUUGUUGAAAAUUGGAUGUUUUAGUUUAUAUAUUAUAGCAAU